rnacentral:rRNA from 1 species
AACGAACGCUGGCGGCAGGCCUAACACAUGCAAGUCGAACGCUCGUAGCAAUACGAGAGUGGCAGACGGGUGAGUAACACGUGGGAACCUUCCCUAUGGUUCGGAAUAGCUCAGGGAAACUUGGGGGUAAUACCGGAUAAGCCCUUCGGGGAAAGAUUUAUCGCCAUUGGAUGGGCCCGCGUCGGAUUAGCUAGUUGGUGAGGUAACGGCUCACCAAGGCAACGAUCCGUAGCUGGUCUGAGAGGAUGAUCAGCCACACUGGGACUGAGACACGGCCCAGACUCCUACGGGAGGCAGCAGUGGGGAAUAUUGGACAAUGGGCGCAAGCCUGAUCCAGCC